UACAGAGGGUGCAAGCGUUAAUCGGAAUUACUGGGCGUAAAGCGUGCGUAGACGGUUAUGUAAGUCGGGUGUGAAAGCCCCGGGCUCAACCUGGGAAUUGCAUUCGAGACUGUGUAGCUAGGGUACGGAAGAGGGAAGCGGAAUUUCAGGUGUAGCGGUGAAAUGCGUAGAUAUCUGAAGGAACACCAGUGGCGAAGGCGGGUUGCUGGGCCGACACUGACGCUGAUGCGCGAAAGCCAGGGGAGCGAACGGG
rnacentral:rRNA from 1 species